GAAGCUGACCAGACAGUCGCCGCUUCGUCGUCGUCCUCCUUCGGGGGGAGACGGGCGGAGGGGAGGAAAGUCCGGGCUCCAUAGGGCAAGGUGCCAGGUAACGCCUGGGGGGUGUCACAGCCCACGACCAGUGCAACAGAGAGCAAACCGCCGAUGGCCCGCGCAAGCGGGAUCAGGUAAGGGUGAAAGGGUGCGGUAAGAGCGCACCGCGCGGCUGGU
rnacentral:RNase_P_RNA from 2 species